rnacentral:rRNA from 1 species
GACUCUCGGCAACGGAUAUCUCGGCUCUCGCAUCGAUGAAGAACGUAGCAAAAUGCGAUACUUGGUGUGAAUUGCAGAAUCCCGUGAAUCAUCGAGUCUUUGAACGCAAGUUGCGCCUGAAGCCAUUCGGCCGAGGGCAUGCCUGCCUGGGCGUCACGCAUCG